AGGGCAGCCAAGUUUGGGAAGCAGCUAGUAAAUUGCAGAUAAGCAUGUGAUGUGACCCAUACUUCCAAGUGAAUUGCAGGUCCUUCCAGUAAUGCAGGUGUUAAGAUAAACGGAGCAAAGCCCAUCACUGCCAUUCUGUUGGCUGCCUGGAAGAACCAUGUGACAGUUGAGAGCUGUCUGCGAGGUAGGGAGCAUCGGAAUCUGUGAGAAAUAAAGAGAGCACAGGGGAGCCGGCUGAGGAGCUCAGGAAGCGCAGGCAGUGAAAAGCAAAUUUUCCUGCCGGGGUCACCACUUGCUUGGGAUCUGCCAUCUUACCUUCUAAAUUGGUUCUAUUGAGAGGUUAUAACAGCGGAAAUGGAGCCAAAGUCUUCCUCCCCGCAGAAGCAUACCGUGAAGAGCCGUUCUAAAUCUACUGAAGAGGUUCAGCAAGCAAAGAAGGCAUUUCAUACACCACAGAAGUCCCUUCCAAAUACAGGAGAAGAAGACAAUCUACAAGAGUCUGCUGACGCUACAGAAGAAUCUUCAUCGAAGGAGGAGACCUGUGAAAAUCAGGCACAACAUUAGUACUAUGGAAAAUUCAGCAUUCAACUGUAUUUAAAAGCAAAAAAAUCAGUCUCCAACUGUAUCCAAAAGCAAGUUUUAGGAUUGUUCCAUAUAAUCUGUGUUUUACCUUAGAGUGUAAGGAUCCCCCAGACCCAUCAUUGAAUCCUACUCAAAAGAUCUGAUUGAAUACUUAUUUGCAUAUGCAAAACCGUAAAUGUCCUACACCUUGAAUGGGUACAGUGUUUGAGAAUCUUCCCAUUUCUAGUCCUCAAUACCCUUUUGUCCCAAGGGGCCCAAAUGCAGUCAAUCAAUAAGAAAAAUAAGACUUUAUACAACUGGUCAGAUCCGAAAAUGUGAAGUUCACCUUGAAACAGCAGUAUUCCAAGACAAUUUGCAAGUACUAUGAUAGUUUUCUAAUUAUGUUACUUUCUGCAUUUCUAUCAUGUGCAGUGCAAUGUCAAUAAACCUGCUAGCAACCAGGCAGUGAAUUAAAUAACAGAAUCAAUGAAGUCAUUGCAAAAAACACCUAGCCUUGCAAUUAGUCUGGUCUCUGGUAGCUAGGGAAACUGUCAGAUUGCUGUAAAAGUUCCAGGUUGUUGAAAGACACAACAGAAAGUCACAUAAAAAAAAUAAAGAAGAGACACAGUUGCUUAAAUUACUUCUGCCUAAAAAUAACAGUAAAGGCCAUUAUAUGUGAAUGUCUCCUUAAAAACUUGUGUUUGGAUGAAUUCCCCUCUUUGUGUGUAUCUUUCUUGCUCUUGAUGGCAGUUUGGUUGAAUGUAUGUUUUUAUGUGGUAUUGUCCAUGUGCUAUGAUAAAUAUUGUGAUAAUUCUUACGGAUACAUCACAACAGGUGUCAUUUUGUGCAUCUUACAAUUUGCCAUAAUACGUGAUGAAAGAUAUUCCCACACCAAAAAAUUAAGCAUUGAGCCUUUUUUCCUUUACCAGUUUGUGAUCUAUUCAGCCACCACUGUUUUCUUAAAUAAUUUAGCAUCCUUUUCUGUUUUUGGCAUGAUGUGUAUGACAUACUGUAGACUCAUUACUGAGAGUAUACUAAUGUCAUCUCACAGCUGGCCUUUUGCAACUGACUAAACAGAAACAACCAUUUAUUUUGUCAACACAUAGAGAAAUGGAACAAACAAUCUGAAUAAUGAAAUUCAUAUGCAACAAGGAACAAGAUAUUACAAUUUAUCAAGAAAAGAGUAAACCUUCACAAAAUACUGACCUUGUACUGAGAAUUAUGUUCUUUUAUCUAUGUCUACAUGCAUCUGCUGUUCGACCUGCAGUUUCCAUCAUCUCCCACCAGCCAAUGGAUGUUAAGGGAUGCUAGAUGUUCCACAACAUAAGGUCAUCGUUUUACUUGAUAUAAAAAUUUGAUGAAGAACCAGUGCUUAAGAUCAAACGCCUGAUUGUCUCUAAAGUGAAUGCACAAGACCAAAGAUGCCUUUUGAACAGUGUAGACCAGUGAUCCCCAACCAGUAACUUGUGAGCAACAUGUUGCUUUCUAACCCCUUGGAUGUUGCUCAGUGGCCUCAAAGUAGGUGCUUUUUUUUCAAUUCAAGGCUUGGAAGUUUUGGUUGUACAUAAACCAGAUGUACUGUAAAUCAGAGCCUCAAUGUAGGUUGACAAUCCACAUAGGGGCUACCAAAUGGCCAAUCACAGCACUUUUUUGGCACCCCAAGAACAUUUUUCAUGCUAGUGUUAUUCCCCAACUGCUUUUACUUCUGAAUGUUGCUCAUGGGUUCAAAAGGUUGGGGAUCCCUGGUGUAGACUAAAGCUCUGUACGGAAAACAGUGUCUAGUGUCAGGAAAUCGAACAGAAAAACAUGGCUAAAAAUAUGUUUUCAGUCUACAAAGAGAUAUUUAAUGAUGGUCAAGGGUAGUAGGAGCUGUAGUUGACAACAAUGUGAAGUUGUGAAUUAGACAUUGUCUACAUAUUGAUUCCCAUCAGACUGGCAAAAUAUAAUGUUGAUCUAUUUUUUGAGAGUUUCCACACCUUUCCUCAUGCAUUAUCUAUAGGCCAAUGCCAUCUUAAAAAGGUUUGGCUUGGUUACAGCAAAGAGAGAUUCAAAUGUCACAUGCAGACUGUGGUUUUACUCCAUUAAGAGCUCAUCAGUGUAUCGUUGGAAUAUUGAUUGGCAUAUAUGUAGGUUGUAUGUGAGACUAUUUGUAUUGUGUUUAAUUUUCAUAAAAUUGUCCCUUCCAAUAAGAAGAGCCUAAGAGAAUGUGGACCUGUAUUCAGUGUUUGUACUCUCUCCAAUUGAAAUAAAACUGGUGAAACCGA